rnacentral:rRNA from 1 species
GAUUAUGGCUCAGGACGAACGCUGGCGGUGUGCCUCAUACAUGCAAGUCGAACGAUAAGGUUCCUUCGGGAAUACAUAAGUGGCGGACGGGUGAGUACAACAUAGGAAAUCUGCCCCAAAGCGGGGGACAACAGAGGGAAACUUCUGCUAAUACCCCAUACGAGCUUAGUUGAAAUACUAAUCUUGAAAGAUUUAUCACUUUGGGAUGAGCCUGUGCCUGAUUAGCUGGUUGGUGGUGUAAUGGACUACCAAGGCGACGAUCAGUAGCUGGUUUGAGAGGAUGAUCAGCCACAAUGGGACUGAGACACGGCCCAAACUCCUACGGGAGGCAGCAGUGGGGAAUAUUGGACAAUGGGGGCAACCCUGAUCCAGCGACGCCCGCGUGAGCGAAGAAGUAUCUCGGUAUGUAAAGCUCUAUCAGCAGGGAAGAUAAUGACGGUACCUGACUAAGAAGCACCGGCUAAAUACGUGCCAGCCGCUGC